rnacentral:rRNA from 1 species
CCCAGCAGCCAUAUCACUCUGCAACUCAAAACUCCCAACUCACCGAAGCUACAGUAAGCAGAUGUGAGCCUGGUAAAUACCUGGAUGGGAGACCUCCUGGGAAAAACUAAGGUUGAUGCUGGAA